CUUUGCGCCGGGCGCUGGGCGGAGCGGCCUGGGACGCGCCCUUGCGAACCGCCAGGCGGCGUCGCGCGAGUCAAACGCUAGACGCUGAGGGAAACCAGGAAGACGCCCUGGGGCCCCCUCAGGUGGAAGCAAUCACACAGAGUCGCAAAGGCGGCCUCAGUGUUGCUUUCUCUUCAGCUCAGGCUGUGACUCCCUUGUUUUAAACGUGAAAAUCCCUUCUUUUCAAACGAAAAGCCAUUUCUCCCCGCGCCUGCUGAAUGGACUAUAUUAAAGGCCAUGGGGGCACAGGAACACCUCACGGGCGUGCAUCACUGACAUGUGACGUGUUAGAGCCCUUUGGGAAAAUAAUCCCGAAAAAGUUAUUACAAUGUUUAAUGUGCGUGAUCUUUGACCCAGCCAUCUUUCUGAGAAUCUUCUAGAAGUAAAAGGAACGGUAGAUAAGGAUCCUCCUCCAAGGUGGUCUCUCCGCCCACUUCCUGCCCUGCGCCCUGAAGCGAUCCUGCCUCUGUGCUCUUCUCUCCUGGCACCCUCAGAUCCCGCCAGGCCUGGCUCUCAGUGUCCUCAGAGCACCUGUCCGGAGGGACCACAUUCUCCUCAGUAAAGCUGCACCUCCACUCCCGCCUUCACGAGGCAGCCAGGCCCCAGGUGCCGUGUUCUUGCUCGCCUUUCACCGCCACAGAAGCUUCCGGAGGAAGAGAACAGGUCUGCUGUUUGUUCACCUUGUAAAGUAGAGCAGCAGCUGGGAUACUGCGGGUGCUCUAAGCACUUUCUGCUAGCAACUGCUGGAUAAAGUCCAUUGAUCAGCUGCCUCUCCCCUGGCAUGUGAAGAACAAAUGUAGAGUCACUGACUAAAACAAUAACAAACUUAUCUGGAAUUAGCAGGAACUGAGAUAGAAGGGUAUAUGGAGGCCCUGAAAAAUGUUGAGAAAAUGAAGACUUCAUUCAAAGAAGAUCUCAAGGAGGAGGAGGUGUUACUAUUCAUCGCAUUGAUGGUAACCAAUUAAUAACCAAGUAGAGCCUUCUUGUCAAUAUGCAAUCGAAUAAAAUAAUACUUGGGUUACUAAUAGCUUCAGAU